UCACAACAUAAAUAACCUGCUGAUGAAACUCCACAGGAACAAGUCACCAACAUUUCACAGGCUGAACUGUAUUCCUCUCCACAAGCCCAGAUACAUAGAAUGUCAGGGUCACUUUCCGAGCCGUUCCCUGGCUUAGAACUAGGGGCUGAACUAAACCAAAAUGUUGCUCAGCCUGUAUCUCUGCUAUAGUGAAGGACAGGGAAAUUGUCAGUGGUACUAACACAGGCUGUGCCCUAAUAUUGUUCAUUUUCCAUAGGACCUGGGUACCAAAAGUUCUCUAUUAAGGACACUGUUGACUCUUUGAUCAAGUACCAGGCAGUGUAUUAAGGACACAGUCAGACACCCUCAUGUCUGAGCUCCGGUUUGGGGAUUUCAAGUCUGGGUUUAUCAGCCCCUUACUGAGACCAGGUAUACAAAUAGGGUUACUUAGCUCCCUUCUAAACCUUGCCCUUCCCUUCCUACCCUGCAGUUCUGACACUGAGAAGCCAGAACCUUUUGAGGCCGGGCAGUGAAAGAGUUAACUCCCGAGAACCCCGGAGACAAUCAGAGACAUGAGAUGUUGGCUCCAUUUCUUCCACACUCUCACCGUGCUCAGAGGUGCCCUGUCCAAGGUCCAGCUGGUGGAGUCAGAGACUCCAAAGCGCCGAGACUCUCUCCGCCUCUCCUGCCAAGCCUCUGGGUUCACCUGCAGCAGCUCCUGGCUGGGUUGGGUCCCCCGAAAGGGCAUUGGAUGGGGCAUGUCAGGUUUCCACAGACAGCUCUGAAAGCGGCACAGAUUCCGCCAAUUCAGUGAAAGGGGAUUUACCAUCUCCAGGGGAACCACUGAGACCUGCUGUAUUCGCACAGGAACAGCUU